AUGAUUUAUAUUUAAUGGCUGCAGUAUUUUAACUGUACGAAGGUAGCAUAAUCAUUUGUUUAAUAAUUUUAGACUAGUAUGAAAGGUUUUAUGAGAAUUAAACUUUCUUAUUUAUAUAAAUAAGAAAUUAUUUUUUUAGUUAAAAAACUGAAAUUUUUUUAUAGGACGAGAAGACCCUAUAGAACUUAAACAAUUAUAUAAUCAAAUUUGUUUAUAUAAUUGUUUAAUUGGGGUGAUUUUAAUUUUGUAUUUACAAUUUUUUUAUUUUAUCAUUGAUUUUUGAUUUUUAUGAUCCAAUUUUUUGAUUAUAAGAUUAAGUUACCUUAGGGAUAACAGCGUAAU
rnacentral:rRNA from 1 species